GGAAUAUUGGACAAUGGGCGCAAGCCUGAUCCAGCCAUGCCGCGUGAGUGAUGAAGGCCCUAGGGUUGUAAAGCUCUUUCACCGGUGAAGAUAAUGACGGUAACCGGAGAAGAAGCCCCGGCUAACUUCGUGCCAGCAGCCGCGGUAAUACGAAGGGGGCUAGCGUUGUUCGGAUUUACUGGGCGUAAAGCGCACGUAGGCGGACUUUUAAGUCAGGGGUGAAAUCCCGGGGCUCAACCCCGGAACUGCCUUUGAUACUGGAAGUCUUGAGUAUGGUAGAGGUGAGUGGAAUUCCGAGUGUAGAGGUGAAAUUCGUAGAUAUUCGGAGGAACACCAGUGGCGAAGGCGGCUCACUGGACCAUUACUGACGCUGAGGUGCGAAAGCGUGGGGAGCAAACA
rnacentral:rRNA from 1 species